AUAGGUAGAUCGAUAUUACCGAGAGUGUAUUGAAGUAUGUCACAGUAUUAGUAUUUUGACUGUCAUUUGCAUAAUACUUCAUGGAACUUUUUAUUAUUUCAUCCUAGCGUGAACUAAUAUUUAACAUCUCAUUCAACAAUUAUGCAUUUUAAAUAAAUGAUGUAAAUGCCAACGUUUCGCUUUAAAAUUGCCCGAAAAGUAGGGCAACGAAUUAAAAGGAUACCGUGUUAUGACGCUUUCUGUUAGCUCGAAUUUUUUCGCAUUUCUAUAACAGAUGCAUGUGAACGCAGCUGAUACGGCAUCUGAUCGCGUAGCAUUCAUUACAUUGCAAAUGAAUAGUAGAUUAGCAGUGAAGAGGUAAUCGAGACUUUGGUGGAACAACCAGUAUGCAGAAGCAACUAAUGAUCAUGAUAAGGUAGGACCUGGAUGACACAUGACGACUCUGCAUUCUGAUUCGUACUAGACCUGGCUCCUCCUUGUGGACAUGAAUGGCACAAUCUCCUUCAAUAUGUUCCUGGGCAUAGCUUGGGGAUAAUUUCAGCUGGAUUUCAUUGUGAGAUGCAUGUUUAUUUGCAAGUUAUUGGAAUUGAUUAUAAUAUACCUGUUACUGAUGGCACAAACAAUCCUAACAAAAUCUCCAAUGUACGGAACCUGGCUCGUUGGCAGGAUUUUCCCAAGUUGACAUCUGCCUGUCUCCAUGAGCCAUAAAGGAUGGCAUCUGUGCCUUGAUACCUAGUUCCUCCAAGUAAUCCAAGGAGUCUCUGAAACCACGGUCCACCACAAAUACAUCAUCCUCGCAAACCCAUCCCUGUAUGUCAUCGAUAUUUCUUUUCAAAAUGUGGUUGAGUAUGGAGGCAUCAUUGUUUUUUGCAAUAUAAGGGCCUAAUACAGAAACAAAGUAGCCUGUCGAUGACACAAUGACCAUAGGUUUCACAAGUGGCCUGCCUUUGUGGAGACUGUAGGAUUGACGUUGAAAUCUAAAAUUACCACUUUUGUUGAUGUAGAUGUACGUCCCAUCCAAUAUAAGUAUGGCUUGCUGAGUUGUGUCAUCACCAAAAAGUGUCUGGGCAAGGGGUCGCGUAUGCUUAUUGAUUAUCUCCUCUCGCGUUAUGUGACCAAAUCCAAGGUUUUCUGUGACAAAACCUCCAGUCAUCAAUAUAUUGCGGACAGCUCGCACACUUCUUUGUAUACUGGAUUUGGAAAUAUUAAACAAUGUGGACAAAAUCUUGUUUGACUCCCCUCCUCUCAAUUUUAGCAAAAAGAUUGCAAGGCUGGUUCUGGUAGUUCUAGCAGGAGUUAUUUUGAUUUUCCCCUCGAUAAACAGCAUCAUGUCAUUGAAAGAAGCUUUUGAUAUCCCCAGGAGAUCUACAUAUUCAGUGUCUGUGUUUUGGGCAGCAACGAGCUCCAGCAGGAAUUAUGACUUCUUUGGUGAUAAAGAUUCGAUGACGAAAUCCCACUGGAACCACAACUAGCUUUGGUCCUGGCCUUUUGCAGAUGCAACAUGCAGCAUGUCCUCUUGAUGUGCAAGGAAAAGGAAGAGUUACUGAUGGUGGACUGAACUGAGGUGUUAAAGUUGUAGAUGAUGUUGAUGGUGCGGAUUCACCUUGACAAUCUGUCGUGCUCGCCAUGCUAUGACCUUUGCGUUUUAUGUGACGUGCACACAUGCACCUACAUCUGUUGCAUAAGAAGUCAUCGUCACCUGGUGUUCUCCCAGAUAGUUUGGAGAUAACGACUCUGUAUUUUCUUGCAAUGCUGUAUCUGUCUUUCUGUCGUACCACGCGUGGACAAUUACAACAGUUGUAAGAUUUCUUACCAGGCAUCUGAAAUGUCAAAUAAAAUCUGUUUCAUUUUA